AUCCAUAUUUUCUCUAGGUCUCCGGAAGCUGGCCAGGAGAAUAAAGCCGAAGGUUCACCCCACUUCUGACUCUGUCGAAGAGUCAACCAAGGAGGACCUUGGCAAGAAACCACCAUGGCCCAACACAUCGAGGGUGGCCCCAGAACCAUGUGGAGGUGAUGCCUUGGAGGAAGCCCUGGAUCCCAUCAAAGGAGACAGCGCCGGAGGCACACCUCUCGCCUUGGUGAGCUAGAAGUUCUUUGUCCGAGG
rnacentral:lncRNA from 1 species